rnacentral:rRNA from 1 species
GACUACUGGGGUAUCUAAUCCCGUUCGCUACCCUAGCUUUCGUGCUUCAGCGUCAGAAAAGACCCAGUGAGCCGCUUUCGCAACUGGUGUUCCUUGCGAUAUCAACGCAUUUCACCGCUCCACCGCAAGUUCCGCUCACCUCUAUCUCCCUCGAGCCAAGCAGUUUUGAGCGCAGUUCCUCGGUUGAGCCGAGGGCUUUCACACCCAACUUGCAAGGCCGCCUACGCACCCUUUAAGCCCAGUCAUUCCGAAUAACGUUUGGACGGUUCGUCUUACCGCGGCUGCUGGCACGAACUUAGCCCGUCCUUCCUCCGAGGAUAGGUCAACCAUGAAGGAGAACCCCCAUGGACUUCCUCCCCUCCGACAGCGGUUUACAACCCGAGGGCCUUCAUCCCGCACGCGGCGUCGCUCGGUCGGGCUUGCGCCCAUUGCCGAAGAUUCUCGACUGCAGCCCCCCGUAGG